GAUUAACGCUAGCGGCAGGCAUAAUACAUGCAAGUUGAACGAGAUUAGUUUUAGCAAUAGAACUAGGUUUAGUGGCGCGACGGGUGCGUAACGCGUAUGCAACCUACCUUAAACAGGGGAAUAGCCUCUCGAAAGAGAGAUUAAUACCGCAUGGUUUAUGGAUUAAAGCUGCGGCGCUUACAGAUGGGCAUGCGUAUGAUUAGAUAGUUGGUAGGGUAACGGCCUACCAAGUCUACGAUCAUUAGGGGUUCUGAGAGGAAGGUCCCCCACACUGGUACUGAGACACGGACCAGACUCCUACGGGAGGCAGCAGUGAGGAAUAUUGGUCAAUGGGCGAGAGCCUGAACCAGCCAAGUCGCGUGAAGGAAGAAGGUUCUAUGGAUUGUAAACUUCUUUUGCAGGGGAAUAAAGGACGGUACGUGUACUGUUUUGUAUGUACCUUGCGAAUAAGGAUCGGCUAACUCCGUG
rnacentral:rRNA from 1 species